UUUUUCUAUACAACAAAAUUUAUUCAUAUAUUAUUGUUUGUGACAUUUCAACUUUUAUUCUUCUGACAUAAUUAAGUUGAGCUCAUAUAUUACGGACCUCAAAAUCGCAGGCUCUUUUAGGUCGUUAUUAGUGAAUUUACCAUGUCAUCUCAUCUCUAUCUUCUAACGACGUUCUCCAAGAAAGCUUAUGGCUUUGUGCAAAGGAUGGAUGCUCUUCAAAACCCUAUUCAAUAAAGUCAUAUUUAAAAACGUGUCACUCGUUGGGAUAAAAGAUUUGAAGUAAUAUAACUCAAUGGAUUGAGAUAAUACAAAAUGGGUAAGAAAAGCAAAAGUAAGGAAGUAGAAAAGAAUAUAGGAAAAGGAGGAAAGUUGUGCCCUAUAAAUAGAGGGUGUGUUUGAGUGACCUAAAGCAUCCCAAAUUUGUAAACCCUUUAGCCUCAGCUGCUCUCUCCUGUUCUUUCCUAUUUUGGGUUUGGAAAGUGGAUUUAGAAGUGGUUGAGAGGGCUGUAAUGGUGAUCAUGUUGUUGCUGACAGAAGAUAGAGAGCACAGAUGGGGAGAUGCAAAUGCAAAUCAUCAUAAACAAGAUCAAAGGCAUCUCUUUCCUUUGUGCUCUCUAUUCUUCUGUCAUCACCUUUAAUUCAGCCCUCCAAUCUCUUCUUUCUUCGUCGCAUGCAUUCCCUCGUGUGUGGAUGAAAUUUAUCGAGAUUGAAUCUUGUUUGAUUUGUGUUAUGAGGUUCCAUAAAUCUUCUUAAACUGUGUAAUCCUACAUUGGUUGGAGAGAGGAACAAAACAUUUUUUGUAAGAGUGUGGAAACCUCUCCCUAAAAGACGUUUUAAAACCGUGAGGCUGACGGCAAUAUGUAACGAGCUAAACAUGCUCUCGGUAUUACUAAAUGGGUCUCGGUAUUACUAAAUGGGUCUACUAGCUAAACGUGAUAAUUUGCAUAUGACAAAAGAAUCUAAAUAAUUAUGUUCAUGACAUGUAUUUGUAAAUGAAAGUUAUGUGAUGAGAUGAUGUGAAGCAUGACUUCCCUCCUAUCCUAAAGGUUAUUGGGUCAUUCAAACCAAGCAUGCCCCCAAGAAGAGCUCAAAAUAGCCCCACAAGGAGGGUGUUUCGCUGAAGUUCAAGGCCACCCAGUUCCUUCUACCAACACAUGAUCUUACCCCAGCUGAACCACCCAAGGCUCUCCACUCUGUCGUACAUCGUGCUCAUAUCAAGUCUUAACCUUCUCGAGCACCAGCUUUGUGUGUGUGUGUGUACUUAACAUUGCACAGGCAUAUGGGUCAAAAAUCAAAGACCAUAAGAGGAGAAAGUACCUUGGGACAAGGCCAUAUGACUUGCUCGCCAACUACAUCCCAAUACUAACUGAUAAAAGAGUGGCUGGAAAGGCAUUGAUCUUCAUGGCUUUGGUGUGUGCAUAUGUUUGAUAGCAAUUUCUAUCUCAUUCUACAAAAUGGGGUCUGACUCAUCUAAUUAAUAAGUUAUACCACUGCUUCCCACUAAGAAACUAGAACAGAGACUUCUAUUUUAUCAUUUAUCAAACUACACAGCCGUCUCCAACUGCUGGCUUUACAACUUACAUUCAACUUUAUUCAAAGUUCAUAAUUUUACAUAAUUUAGUGGUAAUGAAAAUGAAA